rnacentral:rRNA from 1 species
UACAGAGGGGGCAAGCGUUAUUCGGAAUUAUUGGGCGUAAAGGGCGCGUAGGCGGCCUGGCAAGUGGACGGUGAAAUCCCUCGGCUUAACCGAGGAACUGCCCUCCAAACUGCUUGGCUUGAGACCGGGAGAGGUGAGUGGAAUUCCCAGUGUAGCGGUGAAAUGCGUAGAUAUUGGGAGGAACACCAGUGGCGAAGGCGGCUCACUGGACCGGUACUGACGCUGAUGCGCGAAAGCGUGGGGAGCAAACGGG